AGCAGCCGCGGUAAUUCCAGCUCCAAUAGCGUAUAUUAAAGUUGUUGCAGUUGAAAAGCUCGUAGUUGAAUUUCGGGGUUAGUAGGUUGGCCAUGCCUCUGGUAUGUACUGGUCUCACUGAUUCCUCCUUCCUUAUGAACCGUAAUGCCAUUAAUUUGGUGUUGCGGGGAAUUUGGACUGUUACUUUGAAAAAUUAGAGUGUUUAAAGCAAGCUAACGCUUGAAUACAUUAGCAUGGAAUAAUGAAAUAGGACGUUCGAUCUUAUUUUGUUGGUUUCUAGGAUUGACGUAAUGAUUAAUAGGGAUAGUUGGGGGCAUUAGUAUUCAAUUGUCAGAGGUGAAAUUCUUGGAUUUAUUGAAGACUAACUACUGCGAAAGCAUUUGCCAAGGAUGUUUUCAUUAAUCAAGAACGAAAGUUAGGGGAUCGAAGACGAUCAGAUACCGUCGUAGUCUUAACCAUAAACUAUGCCGACUAGGGAUCGGAUGAUGUUAAUCUUUUAAUGACUCA
rnacentral:rRNA from 1 species